GGGCCCGUGGUCUAGAAUGGAUUAUGACGCUGGCCUGCGGAGCCGGAGGUCCUGGGUUCAAAUCCCAGCGGGCCCGCCA
rnacentral:tRNA from 1 species